rnacentral:tRNA from 2 species
GGCCCGUUGGUCAAGCGGUUAAGACACCGCCCCUUUCACGGCGGUAACACGGGUUCGAAUCCCGUACGGGUCA